UACAGAGGGUGCAAGCGUUACUCGGAAUUACUGGGCGUAAAGCGUGCGUAGACGGUUAUGUAAGUCGGGUGUGAAAGCCCCGGGCUCAACCUGGGAAUUGCAUUCGAGACUGUGUAGCUAGGGUACGGAAGAGGGAAGCGGAAUUUCAGGUGUAGCGGUGAAAUGCGUAGAUAUCUGAAGGAACACCAGUGGCGAAAGCGGCUUCCUGGUCCAGUACCGACGUUCAGGCACGAAAGCGUGGGGAGCAAACAGG
rnacentral:rRNA from 1 species